rnacentral:lncRNA from 1 species
AAGACCAUGCUUUAAAAUGUGUGUUAAAAUUCCAAAAUCUCUCUUCUUACAGAUGCAGAGCUCAAUUAAGUCAACUAAUUUAAAGCACCUGCUAUCAAAAGCCUGACAAAUUCCUCCUAAGAAGGAACCGAAGAAAAGCAAGGUGGUCAUCUGGAGGUAGUGAUGAAGAGCCAAAAGAAAAGUUAACGUCUCUGAUUCACGGGUGUCCCUAGCCUGGCAGGACCUGGUUAUUCUGCUUAUUAAACACCAGAGAAUCUACAGCAGCCAGCAGCAUUAUAAACACUUCAAGAUUCAAAAUACUGGAAGAACUUUACACAGACAUACAACUUCCUGAGCUCCAGAAAUUCACAUGGGGCGAAUUUGUGACCUGAGAGAAAACAGCUUUCAAACUCUGAAGACACCAGGCACCAGCCAGGAGAUACAUCUGAGGCUGCAUGAGGGCCUUAACCGGCCCUCAUCUUCCUUGGGAGAAAACCAGUGCUGGGAGGAAGCUCCAGUGUCCACCAGUGCUUGGGCGGCUCGGCGGAGCAGAAGCACAGCACACCUGGUGGGCAUGUGCUGGGGAGCACCACUGGGUGCUCAGCGGUAUCCACAGCAACUAUAUGAAACAAGGACUAUUUCUUCAUCAAACUGCCAAAAUAAAUAGCUAUUAGGAACUAUUAUAAAGUUUGUUAGGAGGAAAAUUAAUUGCAAAUUGUUUUUUGCUGUUGCUUUUCCCCAAAGAAACAGACUAAUAAAUCGAUUCCUAAAGUGUCA